rnacentral:misc_RNA from 1 species
UACAGAGGGUGCAAGCGUUGCUCGGAUUUACUGGGCGUAAAGCGUACGCAGACGGUGCGGAGGGUCGGAUGUGAAAGCCCUGGGCUCAACCCGGGAAUUGCAUCCGAAACCGCCGCGCUAGAGUAUGGGAGAGGGAAGCGGAAUUCCAGGUGUAGAGGUGAAAUUCGUAGAUAUCUGGAGGAACACCAGCGGCGAAGGCGGCUUCCUGGCCCAUUACUGACGUUCAGGUACGAAAGCGUGGGGAGCAAACAGG